rnacentral:rRNA from 1 species
GUCUACGAACAUGCCACCCCAAACAUGCCCAAUCUCAUCUGAUCUCAGAAGCUAAGCAGGGUCGGGCCUGGUUACUACUUGGAUGAGAAACCACCUAGGAAGACCAGGUGCUGUAGAAG